rnacentral:sRNA from 1 species
GCUUUAGCAAAAUCUAAAGCCGAGCCUGGAAACUCGAAUAAUGAACAAGUGGCGCAUAACACGCCUUUAAAUGCGUGUUUUUU